AGCGAACGCUGGCGGCAGGCCUAACACAUGCAAGUCGAACGAAGUCUUCGGACUUAGUGGCGGACGGGUGAGUAACACGUGGGAACGUACCUUUUGGUUCGGAACAACUCAGGGAAACUUGAGCUAAUACCGGAUGAGCCCUUAGGGGGAAAGAUUUAUCGCCGAAAGAGCGGCCCGCGUUAGAUUAGCAAGUUGGUGAGGUAAAGGCUCACCAAGGCUACGAUCUAUAGCUGGUCUGAGAGGAUGAUCAGCCACACUGGGACUGAGACACGGCCCAGACUCCUACGGGAGGCAGCAGUGGGGAAUCUUGCGCAAUGGGCGAAAGCCUGACGCAGCCAUGCCGCGUGAAUGAUGAAGAUCUUAGGAUUGUAAAAUUCUUUUACCAGGGACGAUAAUGACGGUACCUGGAGAAAAAGCCCCGGCUAACUUCGUGCCAGCCGCCGCCGUAAUAC
rnacentral:rRNA from 1 species